UGAUUUUCAUUUUACCUUUGUAGGUCAUCUCUUUUUCCUCCUAGAAGUCUUCAAAUGAGAGAGAAUGACUUAUGCAGAGCAAUUGGGAUGCGGGAGCACAAACCAUUUCCUCACCAUUCGCCACUGACUCGUGGUGCUUGUCCUCCCCACCAGACUCCGUCGUUCGCCUGCCUUCUGUGUCUGCCGCUCAGUGAACGUGGAUGUCCUCCAGCUCUGGCUCGCCCUGAGUGAUGGCAUCCUCCUGUGGCUUUAGCUACCGCCCGUGAGAUGAAUCCCAAAUUUAUCUCCACAGCUUAAUCCCUUUUCUCAACCUCUAAGGUUAAGUGUGAGAUUUUUAAAAUCCCUGUUAAUAUCAAGAAUGAAAAAGGAUAAUCACAAAAGAUCCUACAGGCAUUAAAAGAAGUUCAACUUAACAACAAAUUUGACUAUUUGAAUUUGAAUGGACACACUCUUCCAAAUAAAAACCAAAAACUUACCAAAA
rnacentral:lncRNA from 1 species